rnacentral:rRNA from 1 species
CCUACGGGGGGCUGCAGUGGGGAAUAUUGGACAAUGGGGGGAACCCUGAUCCAGCCAUGCCGCGUGUGUGAAGAAGGCCCUCGGGUUGUAAAGCACUUUCAGUGAGGAAGAACGCCUGGUGGUUAAUACCCAUCAGGAAAGACAUCACUCACAGAAGAAGCACCGGCUAACUCCGUGCCAGCAGCCGCGGUAAUACGGAGGGUGCGAGCGUUAAUCGGAAUUACUGGGCGUAAAGCGCGCGUAGGUGGCUUGAUAAGCCGGUUGUGAAAGCCCCGGGCUCAACCUGGGAACGGCAUCCGGAACUGUCAAGCUAGAGUGCAGGAGAGGAAGGUAGAAUUCCCGGUGUAGCGGUGAAAUGCGUAGAGAUCGGGGGGAAUACCAGUGGCGAAGGCGGCCUUCUGGACUGACACUGACACUGAGGUGCGAAAGCGUGGGUAGCAAACAGGAUUAGAUACCCUUGUAGUC